rnacentral:tRNA from 1 species
GCCGAGAUGGCGGAGCGGUCUAACGCGCCUGGCUUGAGACCAGGUUCCCUUUUUGGGAGCGCAGGUUCAAAUCCUGCUCUCGGCG